rnacentral:rRNA from 1 species
GACGAACGCUGGCGGCGUGCUUAACACAUGCAAGUCGAACGGAAAGGCCUGCUUUCCCUUGUGGAUUGCGGGUACUCGAGUGGCGAACGGGUGAGUAACACGUGAGUGAUCUGCCCCCAACUUGGGUAUAAGCCUGGGAAACUGGGUCUAAUUCCCGAUAGGACUGCAGGGUGGUGCCUGUGGUGGAAAACGAUUUUCUAGUGGUUGGGGAUGAGCUCGCGGCCUAUCAGCUUGUUGGUGGGGUAAUGGCCUACCAAGGCGGCGACGGGUAGCCGGCCUGAGAGGGUGGACGGCCACAUUGGGACUGGGAUACGGCCCAGACGCCUACGGGAGGCAGCAGUGGGGAAUAUUGCACAAUGGGCGGAAGCCUGAUGCAGCGACGCCGCGUGGGGGAUGACGGCCUUCGGGUUGUAAACUCCUUUCGACCGCGAGGAAACCACCUGGUUGGAAGGGUGGUGACGGUAGUGGUAGAAGAAGCACCGGCUAACUACGUG